UACAGAGGUCCCAAGCGUUGUUCGGAUUCACUGGGCGUAAAGGGUGCGUAGGCGGCCGGGUAAGUCUGAUGUGAAAUCCCGCAGCUUAACUGCGGAACUGCAUCGGAUACUCUCCGGCUAGAGGAAUGGAGGGGAGACUGGAAUUCUCGGUGUAGCAGUGAAAUGCGUAGAUAUCGAGAGGAACACCAGUGGCGAAGGCGAGUCUCUGGACAUUUCCUGACGCUGAGGCACGAAAGCCAGGGGAGCAAACGGG
rnacentral:rRNA from 1 species